CAGAAUGCCAGAUGAUUCCGCUAUGUCAGCAUGACAUUUGAGUAGCUCCCAAAAGCGUUUUCUCGUUGGCCAAAAGAUACAAUUAGAGGCACUUUUGCCAAGUAGGCACAAAUCCAGUUGCCUCAUGCAACAACUUACCUGUUGCGGUUAGAACAGAACCGAGGAAAACCCUGCCUGUCAGAUUUUGUUGUCAAGGCCAGCAUUGGAGCAGAACUCAACCACCUUACACACUUUCUACUAAAGAGAAACUCAUGGUCAGUGGUCACUCUUGAUGUCAAGCACAACUACCCUGCUACCCAUGCUACCCAGUGUCACAAAUUGAUUUGGAUGACACAACGUCUACAAAUACUCAAGUGCAGUGCUGAGAAUUGAGCAAGCAAGAGUUGACACACUGCGGGAGCCGGAACUUAAGUAUAAGGGAUGUAUACAUUGAAAACUACAUGUAUUUCUAAAUGAGAAAGAACAAAGCCUUGGUGCAUUUUUAUGACAAUGAACUCUAAUCUUCUGUGAUUGUAAGGAGCUUGAAAUGAUUUGUAAAGAUUCAAAUUGAUUUUGUAUUUCACUGAUUAAAUUUAAAUUUGAUCUUUUUUGGAGUAAAAAAAUACGUUAAAUUGGAUAGCUGAGAAUCAGAAAACAAAGAGAUAAUUUAACGGUUUAUUGUAAACCUCAUUUUUUCCUUCAACUUGAUGAAAUCCUUGAUUGAAUUGUGCUCUUUUUAUGCCUAUGUAUAAAGUUUUGUAAAAAAAAACAGUUGUAAACCAGAAAGGAAGAACACUUCAAUACUGAGAAGUUUCCGCCUCAUCCUUUGGCAGUCUCAUUCUUACAUACUGCAAAUGUGUUUAGUUGAAAUAUGUACAAAUUGGCAAAAUUAAAGGAAAAGGGAAAAAUGUACAAAU